GAAUGCAAGAAUUUGGUUGCCGUGGGUUACUGCCCAUUGCCGUAUUUGCCCGGUGAGCCCCACUGACAGCUUUUGGCACAAUGAACUGAAUUUCCCUUAUACCCUAAAGAGGCCGAAUGCUUCUCCCAAUAGUCACGCAAAGGUUGCUGGGAGUUGUAGGGAUAAACGCCAUUUCUCCGUGUAACAUCUCACUCCCCGGACAGAUUAUUUCUACUGCUGGAACACCUUUGUGGGGAGCCGGGAGCGGCGCUUUGAAGCUUGGGACGGACUGCACGAGAACUUGGUCCGGCUGGCGCGGAAACUCCGGCGCAUAUUGCAGCCGCCGUACGACAUGGAGGAUCUACGGGACGUGUUUGAGCUCCUUGGGCUCUGAAGGUUCCGGUCCCAGACGCCACGAGAGCCAAUCAGACUCACCCAGGGUCCCGCUGUUUAUUCCCUGUUCUACCCUUACGGGUUCCCUGGGUCGGUACCGGUCCGACUGUACAUUUGCCCCACAAACUGUAUAUAAUCCCUUGUGUGUAUUUGUGCCGUUGGCGCAGGAUUUGUACAUUUUUAUUUGCGCCACUUAGUCUGACGCUUUAGGGUUCCAGCUAAUAUGGCGGCCAAGUUCCAAUUCCGCCCUUGGGUCCUGGCAUUCCUGGGAAUGGAACCCCCCCCCUGACUAGCAGUUUUCAGCCUAGAAACACUAAAAUGUGCAUUUUGGGCAAAGUGCCUGCCCCAAGCUGUGAUGGGAGGGUUCCUUUUAUAUUAAUGCCAGGAGAAAUGGGGGGUAUCAGGUACAGGAAGCCAUACAGGUAGCCAUACAGGAAGCCAUACAGGAAGCCAUACAGGAAGCCAUACAGGUAGCCAUACAGGUAGCGCAUAUGUAUGUAUUAUUUAUGUGUUCAUAUUACAAUACAGUAACAGUAGGGAAAUACAGCAAUCAGUAAAUCUAUAGCGUUCCAAGGGUUAAGUGGCACAGGCUGAGAGACGCAGGGGGUUCUGGGAAGCCCGGGGAGGCGCAAGUGGAACUGCACGGUGGGUCAUUAAGGGGUUAAACUUUUGCACCUGAUACCCCAGUGCAUGCCCAUUGGAGCAGAGCUCUGUAAAGUCCCAUUUCUCCAUUCAGAGCACAGACUGUGAGCAUUAACCCCUACCCCACCCAAGAGUCGGUUCUUGUGUCAUUGUCCCCAUCCCAGAAGCAGUCCCUGUCAGUAUGUGUUUAUAUAAUCAGUACCGGCCCGGUACCCUGAGCCCAAACACCCCCCGGGGGCUCUAUGGAUGGGGGGGUUGGGGGAUGAUACUGAUAUGACUGGGCUGCACAGAGGGAUGUUGCUAAUAAAGACAUUUAAUACAA